rnacentral:tRNA from 1 species
GCAGGUGUGGCGGAAUUGGUAGACGCGCAAGAUUUAGGUUCUUGUGUCUUAAUGAUGUGAGAGUUCGAGUCUCUCCACCUGUA